UUCGCCAGGUAACUGUAUCUCUGUGUGAGUAUUUCUGUGUGUGUGCGUGUGUAGGUGGGCGUAGUUCGGUCCUUCACUGCCUACCUCUCUGCCACUCGCGGCCGUAUUGCCCUUUGCUCUUCUAUGCACGGCGCCUACACCGAAGCUACCGGCGCACACAUCAUAGCUGCUCCUCCUCACCACCUCCGAGACCCACAAUGCUCUCGCGGACGCGGGGCGCCGGGGGCGCCGACAGCGGUGCCAUUCUUCCCUUUCGGAUGGGCGGCAAAAGCACAGUGGUUAUGUCGGACUACCACAUCUGCAAGUACGACGCCAUCCUCGGCGUGCUCGUGUGCAUCGGCGAUGAUGCAAACGUCCUCGUGCUCGGCAAGGAGAUGUGCCGCGAGCUGCUGCCGCUGCCGGGCGGGGUGCACUGGCUAGACGCCUUUGUGUACUCCGGCACCACCAGUUUCCUGGUGCUUGCGUCAGAGACGCUCUUGUGCCUGGACUACAGCGCCGGCGUGAAUGGCAACGGGGACAGCAUGCUGCGGUGCACGGGGCCUGGUGCGCACUUCACCUGCCUGCAUGUCGCACAAGGCUUGACAUGCGGCGCGGUGGGGCGCAAGGACGGGCUCGUGUCCUAUUUCCGUCUCGAUCCGGUGUCGAACAACCCCGAGGAGCGGCCGCAGCUGCGGUGGACCGCCACGGAGACGAAUGUUCUCGGGCUAUGCCAGCCCUUCUGCAAGGGCAUGGCGGGCCCCGUCAUUGACACGAGCGCCGCCAACCGCGACAAGUUCUUCACCACAGGCUCUCUGCUCUCGAUGGACUCGUAUCCAAGCAACCCGAACGCACUCAUCGGUGUGGUGGGCGGGGUUCCCGGGGUGUGCAAGUGGUACAUUGAUGAAGGUCGUGUGAGCAGCUUCUUUGACGCUAGCAGCAUCGCCGGGCAGCCGGACAGCCUUUUGGCCACGUGCCGUGUGACGCCUGGCGGCGUUUACGUCGCUGCCGUCACCAUGCACUGCACCAAGAUUCUCCUGUGGAACGAGAGCAAGAAGCGGCGUGACAAGGUGGCCGAGCUCUACUGGGUCGUUGAUCUCUCUCAGCACAUCUCGCAAAGCGUGCCGAGCGCCCCGAGCGCCGGACUUGUCGACGCCUUCGCGUACAAUGAGUAUCGCGUGGGUCUGAGCAUGGCCCGCACUGCCCUCGAGGACAGUUUCCACACCACCAACGACAAGCACAGCCAGAUGUACAUGCUGCUGCACGGCCAGCGCGACAUCCUGGAGAUAGUUAUCCGACUUGAUGACAAGCAGGUGAUGCGCCAGGACGCCAUUAUCGCGCAUCUGAACGCGUACACGGCUCAGCGUGGCGUGGAGGCGGCGCGUACGAAGAAGGCGGCGGCUAGGUCAAGCGGCAACGGCACAGACGUCGGCGCGAACGCGGUGGACAACUACUUCAACGUUUUCCACGUGGAGCCGUGCGUACUGUCGAACUACUGGGCAAGCGGGCUGACAGACGUUGACCUAGAGGCGCUGUUCGUGACAAGCGAGGAUGGCUUGCGACCGAUCCUGGCAAAGCGCAACCGUCAGACUGGCGGCAUCGAAAGCAUCCGUGAGCUGCGCGAGCUUAGCGCGCAGGCGCCGUGGUACCCGCGUGCGCUGCUGUUGCGGCUGCCCGAGAACCAGAUACGGUCGCUCGCCGAGGAAAUACAACGAACAGCGGUGACCUCAACCUGGGAAAAGCUUCUGCGCGGUGGCGACGCACUGCUGCGCCACGCCCUGCCUGACGUGGAGGCCAAGGAAGCAGCUAACUCAGAUGUGGCAUAUUUGUGGCGGCAGAGCGUUCUGGUAACCGUCACGGAUGCAGCGCAGGCGGUCUGUCUGUCGCCGCAGUCCAACGAGGCUUUCAGCGUCAGCUCGAAAGCCUUGGCGAACUGCGUGCCGUGGUCAACUUUGGCGAUCGGCCAGGACACCGACGGGUUGGUGUUGGAGACGGUGCUGCCCUCGCUGCACACAGUGUUCCUGCCGACGGAGAUAAUUUUGCGCGUGUUCAGCACCGAGUCCAUCGUCACGGUCAUGAAGCACGACAUUCGUCGCAAUACCGGCUCGCUGGUACUGGACCUGGACCGGGCGGCGCUCCAGCUGGACGGGAACGGCGAGCCUGGAAAGCGGAUGGUGCAGCAGGCGGUACUUGUUAAUGCACGUCUGGAGCCGUCCACCGUGACGAGCAAUGUGUCUGUUUACAAGGAUGGCAAGUGUGUGCUGUUGCUGCUCGAGAACUCCUCAGUCGCGCUUGUCGACCUUUCGGGCAAGGGUGACGAUGGCCGCCCUUUCAUGCUUCAAGUUCCCCCUGGGCUGCUUCCGGUCGGGUCAACCAUCGCCUCGCUUGACGCCUUCUGGAUGGCCAGCCGGACCGCAACAAGCAACAACAAGAUGGGUCUGCUCUGCCUCGCGUGCCUAUUCAAGGACGGCAAAGGAUUCUUGCUUUGGAACUUGAGCGAGAUGCGCCUGAUCACCUACGCGCACCCCGAGUACGCCACGUCCGCCACGCGCCUCAUGGUCACAGCAGCGGCGCAGCCGCCGCUGCCGAACCUGUCGGGGGACGUCAAGGUGUUCGAGGUCACGCUUUCUAUUUCGUCACCCGUGCACAACGCCGGGGUAUACGGUACCCUUACGUGCUGCGACGCACUGGGCGCUGCUUUGCUGUCGAUGUCGCUUGCGUUUGGCGUCGCGAACGGCGCCCCGCAGGCCUGGUGCUACCGCCAGAGCGCGGAGGCCAACUGGGUGGCGUUGCCACAGACGACGAGUGCCACAAAGCUGCUGCCUGUCCGGUUUGAGGUAUUGGGCUCAUCUGUAGAGUGGACGAUUACGGUGGGCGGUGCGGCCGUGGCAACAGGGAGUAGCCCGCUCCAGGGCAGCAUCGUGCACGUCAAGACAACGUGGGCACCAGGCAAGGCCAACCUCACGUACGACACGGAUGCGGGCGAAAUGCGCGACUACGAAAUCAGUCGUGACACCUCCGCCAACGACUGCAUCGACCCAGCCAUCGCGUUCGUUGGCGCACACGAGAUUGUCGUGGUGCAAGUGUCCGCCCUCUUCCCCGCGACUGGGUCACCGCCCUCGAUGACGGCGAGUGUCACGGCGGUGGACGCGGUGCCAGCCGCCACGUGCAGGCUCGACCCUGCGCGCCGUCUCGAGCACUUCAGCGUGUACCACGGCCGCGGCGCGCUCAUCGUGGUAACACGCGACGCGAACGGCUGGCGUUGGGUGAACAUCCUGGACAGCAGAACGGCCAAGCCGAUGAUGCAGUCGUACGCCACUCUUGACUUUGCUGGCGAGGAGAACGUUCAGGUGCUGCUGGUCGAGAUCGAGAACGUGCUGCAUCUGUACUUCCUCGGCUCCAACAAUGGCGUUAUCGGUCACUUCUUUGUGGAGGCGAACUUGGGUGCUUCGAAAGAAAGUGGGGUGCGCAAGCACCCCUGCUUCCGCGGUCCACACUACCACUUCACGCCAUGCACCUUCCGCGGCUACGGACGCUAUCUGCCGCCGGCGCCGACACUGAAGCAGGAAACGGGCUUCUUCAAGCGACUCAUGACGCUGCCGUGGGAGGACAUUGCCAUGAAGCUAGAGUCGGAGACGCUACGCGCCACGAAAGCGGCUGGGGCGGCGCAGAUGCCUGCCGGCACCACUCCCAUGGCAGCGGCCCCUACAUCAAAACCGUACGCAAGCCCCUCCUCUCUGCCGUCAAGUGUGCCACCAAUCGCGAAACCGGACCCUAAAAGGGAGCAGCAAGAGCUGCUCGGCGCCGUCGAUCGCGGAAGCAGUGCAGCAGCGCCGGCACAGGCCCCGACCCCUGCGCGGCAGCCUGGCGCCCCUGCACCAACCGCGGCCGCCACCGCAGCCACUCCGAAUGAGUCGCCGGGCGGCCGCUAUGCGCAACUCAAGGCGAUCGCGGAGCGCGAGAAUGUUAGCCUCACUGAGGCACGGCGAAUGAUGAGUGAGAAUGUGCGCAAGCUGCAGCAGCGCGGCGAGCGGCUGAGCGAGAUGCGGAACAAAUCGGCCGAGCUGGCGCAGACAGCACUGACGUUUCAGGAUCUGGCGCGUCAGCUCAAGGAGAAGCAGCGCAGCAGCUGGCUGUAAGCAUCGCCCUUCUGUUAAGCACUGAAAUGUGCGUCCAUCGUUUAUUGUGUGUUUUCAUCCCUCCCCCUCUAGGUGGCCACCUGUG
rnacentral:misc_RNA from 1 species